AACGCACAUUGCGCCCAUUAGUAUUCUAGUGGGCAUGCCUGUUCGAGCGUCAUUUAAACCCUCAAGCCUUGCUUGGUGUUGGGGAUCAGCCUUUAUCGGCUGGCCCUGAAAAAUAGUGGCGGUCUCGCUGUAGCUUCCUCUGCGUAGUAGCACAACCUCGCUCUGGAAAGCAGCGCGGCCUAGCCGUUAAACCCCCUAAUGUAUAAGGUUGACCUCGGAUCAGGUAGGAAUACCCGCUGAACUUAA
rnacentral:misc_RNA from 1 species